GCGUCUCUUCAUGAUGGGGAUGUGUUCUUAGAAAUGUGUCAUUAGGCGAUUUUGUCGUCAUGCGAACAUCACAGAGUACACUUACACAAACCAAGAUGGUAUAGCCUACUGCACACCUAGGCUGUAUAGUACUAAUCUAAUGGGACCACCGUCAUUUAUGCAGUCUGUGAUGAAUGGAAACAACCU